UUGUAUGACGGAAAACAUGCACACGCAGCACCCUGAACAGAAGUAUUAAUGGAGCCUCACUGCAAAGCACGCAAGUACAAGAUACUCGGGAAGAGUCGGCCACGCCCGAACGAAACGACCGAAUCUCCCGAAUCGAAAAACUCACGUGAAACGAAACGAAGAGAGCUUUAGCAAGUCGAACUGAUCGGACGAAAACCGCUGCACCGAAACCCGCAAAGACUACGCUGGAGCUCCCUGCAUUUGGGCUACCGCGACUGCCAUCGCCAUCAUCUUUGUUUUGGUUGUCAUUGCUGGGUGCAAAUGGCCGGCGUGUGUGUUCUUAAUGUUUCUGAGCAACAAGUUUUGCAAAGUUUGGUUCGGAGGGAGUAUGGAACGCCGUUUUGUGGUCAACGUGGCCAGAGUGCCUCAAAAGUACUCCUGCCGCAUUCUGGUCACUGUUAUAAAUGUGAAUCCCUGCCACCAUCAGCAGCUUUUAAGUAGAUUCAUGGCACAUGAGGAACCUGCGAUGUACACCAUCGCACACAGUCAAGAAAAAUGUAGCAUUUAACCUUGCUUUCCUUCAUUAUAACAAACAAAAAAAAAGAAAGAAAGAAAGAACACUAGAGAAAGGGUCGGCAAAACAGUGAGUGUUUUGUUGUUUUUGAUUCUAUUGAUCUCUCACUGUCAGGUUGCACUGCCGAUCUGUUCACAAUCAUAACUAACUAAUACCUUAGCUUUGGCCAAUCUCAUGUUGCAAUUUUGCUUCAAACACAACAUUCAGGGAUUCUUAUGAAAACAGCAGCAUUUCUGAAAGAUCCUGGAACGGCCACAAUCUCAAGAGGUAGUACGAUUCUACCCGUCGUCAUAUUUCGUCCGCCAAGCCAUUGCGCGGAGAUGUUGGCUCCAUGCCCAUUUCAACACAGGCUCACCCGCGCUCGCUCGCGCGUCGUCGCUUGUCUUCCAUGCCACCAGCCAGCGCUGCGCGCUGCCUGUCGCGCAUGCGCUGUUCUUGUUGGCUUCGCUUUGGCUGCUGUAACGGUCGUUUCUCGUCGCCGCGUGUAGUUCGCGUAAUUGCGAGCGUUCCAGCAAGUCUAAAGCGUUUUAGAGGCUUUGUAUUGUUGUUCUCACCUGGUGCUGUCGUUCUUGCAACCCGUCUGAUAUUGCAACUGUCUGUAAGUGGAAGCGUUUCUUCUAACCGCGAGCAAACCAGUCGGUCUCGUUUGACAUGUCAAAGAGUGAAGACGCUACCUUGCAUGUGAAGCCAAAUCGUUCUUCGCCUUCAGGAUUAUUGCCGUUUCAGGGAUCUGCGCAACGACAGAGAGAUAGAACGCCAAGUGAAGUCGACUGUGUACUUUGUGCAGACGGUUCAGCGUGUAUGACGCAGCGGCCUUCAGCAAGAGAAACUCAAGCACCGUGUUCAAAUGCAGUGGGGACUCUUGCUGGCCAUGACAACGCUUAGAAGUGCUUUUUCGGAAGAAGGACAAGUUGGACCGGAAAUGAGGACCUAGGUGUGCUCUUUUGCGCUGUUGUUCACCGUUCGAUCAUUACCAGUUUUUGUGCCCCCGUGAGUUCAACGCUUAGGUAUGUUGAUGAUAAAUGGAUAUGCGUUAAAAGGUACGUACUCCGGAGUGGUGAAUUGUUCUGGUGAAGUGAUUCGUUGCUGCUAUCUCCUGUUUCGUGAGGGUUCUUGUCGGUACUCAUAUACCGCAGGCAUGAGGGGCUUUCUUUGCAGAACAUUUCAGUAAACCAAGACUGCAGCAUUUUCAAGAUUGCCAUAACCAGCAUCAAUGCAGCUCUCAUGUCAACAUCAGCAUCAAGACAGCUCUGAUGUGAGCAUCAGCCAGCGCAGCUCUGAUGUUAACAUCAUCAGAGCAGCUGUGAUGUUAACAUCAGACCUGAUGUCGCUUUUUUUUUUCAAUAGGGAUGCUUCUCCUUGACCAUGUUUUUUUUUUGCUUAUUGACGUUUUUGUGAAGGAACGCUGAAUAUGCGCACACCAUUGACUGUCAGCUCUAGUCCCGGUCAGCUGUCAUUUUUUACAGUUUUCGUUGUAGUAAUUGCUAGUCAUUUGCACCAAAGGCGCUGGAUGUGAACUAUUUUCUCUUUCCUGGACUUGCAUUUCUCCCAGUCGUUGGCUUUGUCAUUUUUUCAUAAUUUAAAUUUUCUCUUGGUAACUCUUGAGUUUCGUAAUCCCUACGCUGUGCAUUUUACCAUUUUUGAUAAAGCUCAUUCCACGUACCGUGCACAUACUAUUUUGUGCUGAAGUGCAGCAAUUGUUUCGUUACGUCUAAUGUUACAUGCCAUUCAUUUUUGUGUCUGGGCAGUACUGAAGCGUGAGCAGAUAGGCAGACUGCCUAUUACUGCAUAACUUCGUUUUCUUUGAGGCACCACCACUUGGACAGGCAGACCGCCUCUUGCUGUAUACUUUUUCUUUCUUUUGAGACACUGUUGACGUGCGAGUGGUUACGCAGGCAGGCUGCAUAUUACUGUAUACCAUUUCCCACCAUGCAGCAAUUUUACCGUUACGUCUAAUAUUAAUGCUACAAGCCGUUCAUUUCUUCCAGGGCCAUUGCCGAAGUGCAAGUGGUUAGGCAGACUGCCUACUACUGCAUACCUUUUUUGUUUCCUUUCAGAGACCACCUCUUACUGUGUACGUUCCCCCCCCCUUUUGAGACACCAUUGAAGGGCCAGUGGUUACGCAGGCAGGCUGGAUAUUACGGUAGACCAUUUCCACCCUUUUCUUUUCAGGCUACAUUGGCAAUGACAGUAGUUAUGCGGACAUGCUGCAUAUUUCUGUAUACCCCUCUUUUUUUGUUUUUCAUUUCAGACACAAUUGGCAUGCAUUGGAUGAUGCAGGCAGACUGCUUAGUGUACACCACUCGUCGUUUAGUCUAUUGAGGUGCUCCAAGUGUUGUGUCAGUCUAUUUCCUCUCCGAAAAUAAAAUGUUGGGCUCUACA